UUAACAGAGGUGGGGCAGACCUCGCAGUCACCUCGGCUGCCUGGAGCAGAGGAGAGAAGAGAAAGCUCCCAAGGGGGCUCCGCUGUCUUCUCCAGGAGUGACGACGCUGCUUUCCCAGUUGAACCCCGCCCCCUCCUCUGCGAUCCGCUGCGGGCUGCACGGAGCUUCGCUUAUCCUUUGGAGCCCUCUGCCAGGAAGAGCACGUUGCGUGAGGCCGCUGGUGCCUGGCCAUUCCCGUGCAGGCUGGAUUCUCCAGAGGUGAGCUUUCACACUCUGCUUAGUGGAUUCUGACUUACUUUCUGACGAGCCUGGGCAGUACUACAGCUCGUGACCACUGACCGAAAAUGCCCGGGCAGGCUCAUUCCACACGGGGCUUCUCGCCAACAACAGCUUACCCAGGCAUUCAGGCAUCAGGAUCGAUGAUGAACUUUCAAAAAGGAAAAGGAUGGAAAAUCAUCGAACUUACCAUGAACUGUGCUCCCUUAAGUGUUUCCUUAUAGCAUGUGCAGAGUCAAGGGAAAUUAUAUUCCUGUAUUAUUUAGUCUACCAACAACCUAUUUACCUACGGUCUUAAUCUGGGUUAUUCUUGAAAGUAGAGCCUGAAACAAAGGUAGACACAUUCUAUUUGGGAAUGUGAUCCCAGGGAACAGGAAUGAGACAGAGGGGAGUGAACAGGCGGAAAAGGGAAAGUCCAGACAAAACAAGGUAGUGUUAUUGAGUGGUCCACUAGCGUUCAUGGCUACUUAGUGCAGAGCCUUCCCAGGAUUCUUAACAAACUUUGGCUCAGAACAGUCUGCCUGAGGGACGAAAAGAAGGAUUUAUCUCUCAGCAGCUAUCACCUGUGUGCUGAGGGCUGCUCCCAUGGGGCAUUAACUGCCCCCUGAGGAGACCCUCACUGGAACUACAGCAUCACAUGUGCUGCAACAGAGAAGCUUUAGGACAGGAAGCUAGAUUCUUGACGCGACCCUGAGAUGAGGCACUGACAGCACAGAGCGGGAUGAAACCUGCCCAGAGCUGUUAACCAAAGCUGCGGCUGGAAUCGGAAGUGGAAGAGAUGGGAGACAGUGCACAGGAGGCAUCUCAUAAGCCUAGAUAAUGUGUUGUUAGCCUUGUCUAAAUCCAUAUUCUCUCUUCUUUCUAUCAUCAAAAUUUCAUCGUCCAGAUCAAGGCUGGCAGAAGGGUUAAAUAGGAAGGUUAAAUGUAUUUCCUAGAAGCUGUAUGUUAACAGUUUUAACCUUGAGUGACACUUACAAGAAAUAGAAAGUGACCCUAGAACUUGGAAAAUUUUUAAAUUAUUCUACUUGAAACAUUUUACCAUUGGAUAGCAAUAUUAGAUAUCUUCUAAACUCAUGUAAUCUCAGAAGUAAUCAUGAAUUGUUUGGAGAAAUAAAAUUAAUCAUUUCUUAUA